AUUGAACGCUGGCGGCAGGCCUAACACAUGCAAGUCGAGCGGAGCGGCGGACGGGUGAGUAAUGCCUAGGAAUCUGCCUGGUAGUGGGGGAUAAAGUCAGGAAACGGGCGCUAAUACCGCAUCCUAUCAGAGUAGCCUAGGUCGGAUUAGCGAGUUGGUGGGGGAAAGGUCUACCAAGGCGACGAUCCGUAACUGGUCUGAGAGUAUGAGCAGUCACACUGGAACUGAGACACGGUCCCGACUCCUACGGGAGGCAGCAGUGGGGAAUAUUGGACAAUGGGCGAAAGCCUGAUCCAGCCAUGCCGCGUGGGUGAAGAAGGUCUUCGGAUUGUAAAGCACUUUAAGUUGGGAGGCGUUACCAACAGAAGAAGCACCGGCUAACUUCGUGCCAGCAGCCGCGGUAAUAC
rnacentral:rRNA from 1 species